rnacentral:lncRNA from 1 species
AGUGGGCGGGGCCUCCUUGAGGACCCCGGGCUGGGCGCCGCCGCCGGUUCGUCUACUCUUUCCUUCAGCCGCCUCCUUUCAACCUUGUCAACCCGUCGGCGCGGCCUCUGGUGCAGCGGCGGCGGCUCCUGUUCCUGCCGCAGCUCUCUCCCUUUCUUACCUCCCCACCAGAUCCCGGAGAUCGCCCGCCAUGGCUUUACUUACUGCGGCCGCCCGGCUCUUGGGAACCAAGAAUGCAUCUUGUCUUGUUCUUGCAGCCCGGCAUGCCAGUGCUUCCUCCACGGUAAGGUUUGGAAAAGAAGACUAAGAAUAAGAAUCAUUGCGGCCAGCCUGACCUUGGGGCAGAGGAUUUGGCAACCACCUGGCCUCUUAUUAUCCUGAAAUUUGAAAGACAUAUUGGCUGACCUGAUACCUAAGGAGCAGGCCAGAAUUAAGACUUUCAGGCAGCAACAUGGCAAGACGGUGGUGGGCCAAAUCACUGUGGACAUGAUGUAUGGUGGCAUGAGAGGCAUGAAGGGAUUGGUCUAUGAAACAUCAGUUCUUGAUCCUGAUGAG